rnacentral:lncRNA from 1 species
GUCUAUAUGAAUAUCAAACAAAGAAAACAGAUCGUCAGAUGGAUUCAUGACAAAAUUGUGUUUUUGUGAUGGUGAUGUAAUUGGAGAUCUUGCUUUACUGAACAUUCUUGCUACUUACAAUUUUGUCUAUCUAUAAUGAACUUGGCCCUUUAGUUCCAGAGGAAAAUAUUUUGUAAAAACUAAUGAAAAUUGUUAAAAAUUGACUAUAAAGGGCAAUAAC